rnacentral:sRNA from 1 species
GUCGUAUCGGUUAGAUCGGGAUACUCAUCAAAUUAAAUCGAAAACCGAGUUAACUUCACCUAUCAAUGGCGGGCCACAUGCCGCAAGGUAGCAGUAAUGCCGGUGGAUUACAAAGACAGGGAAGCACUCAAAUCUUAGAAAUAGGAGUUUUCAUCACAUCACGGUACGACCUAU